AGAUUAAGUUAUUAAGGGCGCACGGUGGAUGCCUUGGCACUAGAAGCCGACGAAGGACGUUACUAACGACGAUAUGCUUUGGGGAGCUGUAAGUAAGCUUUGAUCCAGAGAUUUCCGAAUGGGGAAACCCAGCACGAGUUAUGUCGUGUUAUCGAUAUGUGAAUACAUAGCAUAUCUGAAGGCAGACGCGGAGAACUGAAACAUCUUAGUACCCGCAGGAAGAGAAAGAAAAAUCGAUUCCCUGAGUAGCGGCGAGCGAAACGGGAAGAGCCCAAACCAACGAGCUUGCUUGUUGGGGUUGUAGGACACUCUAUACGGAGUUACAAAAGAACAGACUAGACGAAUCAUCUGGAAAGAUGAAUCAAAGAAGGUAAUAAUCCUGUAGUCGAAAGUUUGUUCACUCUUGAGUGGAUCCUGAGUACGACGGAACACGAGAAAUUCCGUCGGAAUCUGGGAGGACCAUCUCCCAAGGCUAAAUACUCUCUAGUGACCGAUAGUGAACCAGUACCGUGAGGGAAAGGUGAAAAGUACCCCGGAAGGGGAGUGAAAUAGAACUUGAAACCGUGUGCUUACAAGUAGUCAGAGCCCGUUAAUGGGUGAUGGCGUGCCUUUUGUAGAAUGAACCGGCGAGUUACGAUUUGAUGCAAGGUUAAGCAGUGAAUGUGGAGCCGUAGCGAAAGCGAGUCUGAAUAGGGCGUUGAGUAUUUGGUCGUAGACCCGAAACCAGGUGAUCUACCCAUGACCAGGUUGAAGUUCAGGUAACACUGAAUGGAGGACCGAACCGACUUACGUUGAAAAGUGAGCGGAUGAGUUGUGGGUAGCGGAGAAAUUCCAAUCGAACCUGGAGAUAGCUGGUUCUCUCCGAAAUAGCUUUAGGGCUAGCCUCAAGUGAUGAUUAUUGGAGGUAGAGCACUGUUUGGACGAGGGGCCCUUAUCGGGUUACCGAAUUCAGACAAACUCCGAAUGCCAAUCAAUUUAACUUGGGAGUCAGAACGCGGGUGAUAAGGUCCGUGUUCGAAAGGGAAACAGCCCAGACCACCAGCUAAGGUCCCAAAAUAUAUGUUAAGUGGAAAAGGAUGUGGCGUUGCCCAGACAACUAGGAUGUUGGCUUAGAAGCAGCCAUCAUUUAAAGAGUGCGUAAUAGCUCACUAGUCGAGUGACACUGCGCCGAAAAUGUACCGGGGCUAAACAUAUUACCGAAGCUGUGGAUUGUCCGUAAGGACAAUGGUAGGAGAGCGUUCUAAGGGCGUUGAAGCAUGAUCGCAAGGACAUGUGGAGCGCUUAGAAGUGAGAAUGCCGGUGUGAGUAGCGAAAGACGGGUGAGAAUCCCGUCCACCGAUUGACUAAGGUUUCCAGAGGAAGGCUCGUCCGCUCUGGGUUAGUCGGGUCCUAAGCUGAGGCCGAUAGGCGUAGGCGAUGGAUAACAGGUUGAUAUUCCUGUACCACCAUUAUUCGUUUUAAGCGAUGGGGGGACGCAGUAGGAUAGGCGAAGCGUACGAUUGGAUUGUACGUCCAAGCAGUGAGAUUGAGUGUUAGGCAAAUCCGGCACUCUUAAGAUUGAGCUGUGAUGGGGAGAGGAAAUUGUUUCCUCGAGUCGUUGAUUUCACACUGCCAAGAAAAGCCUCUAGCUAGAAUUGUGGUGCCCGUACCGCAAACCGACACAGGUAGUCAAGAUGAGAAUUCUAAGGUGAGCGAGCGAACUCUCGUUAAGGAACUCGGCAAAAUGACCCCGUAACUUCGGGAGAAGGGGUGCUCUUUAGGGUUAACGCCCAGGAGAGCCGCAGUGAAUAGGCCCAAGCGACUGUUUAUCAAAAACACAGGUCUCUGCUAAACCGUAAGGUGAUGUAUAGGGGCUGACGCCUGCCCGGUGCUGGAAGGUUAAGAGGAGUGGUUAGCUUCUGCGAAGCUACGAAUCGAAGCCCCAGUAAACGGCGGCCGUAACUAUAACGGUCCUAAGGUAGCGAAAUUCCUUGUCGGGUAAGUUCCGACCCGCACGAAAGGCGUAACGAUUUGGGCACUGUCUCAACGAGAGACUCGGUGAAAUCAUAGUACCUGUGAAGAUGCAGGUUACCCGCGACAGGACGGAAAGACCCCGUGGAGCUUUACUGUAGUCUGAUAUUGAAAUUCGGCACAGCUUGUACAGGAUAGGUAGGAGCCUGAGAUACGUGAGCGCUAGCUUACGUGGAGGCGUUGGUGGGAUACUACCCUCGCUGUGUUGGAUUUCUAACCCGCACCAUUUAUCAUGGUGGGAGACAGUGUCAGAUGGGCAGUUUGACUGGGGCGGUCGCCUCCUAAAGAGUAACGGAGGCGCUCAAAGGUUUCCUCAGAAUGGUUGGAAAUCAUUCAUAGAGUGUAAAGGCAUAAGGAAGCUUGACUGCGAGACUUACAAGUCGAGCAGGGUCGAAAGACGGACUUAGUGAUCCGGUGGUUCCGCAUGGAAGGGCCAUCGCUCAACGGAUAAAAGCUACCCCGGGGAUAACAGGCUUAUCUCCCCAAGAGUUCACAUCGACGGGGAGGUUUGGCACCUCGAUGUCGGCUCAUCGCAUCCUGGGGCUGUAGUCGGUCCCAAGGGUUGGGCUGUUCGCCCAUUAAAGCGGUACGCGAGCUGGGUUCAGAACGUCGUGAGACAGUUCGGUCCCUAUCCGUCGUGGGCGUAGGAAAUUUGAGAGGAGCUGUCCUUAGUACGAGAGGACCGGGAUGGACAUACCUCUGGUGUACCAGUUGUCGUGCCAACGGCAUCGCUGGGUAGCUAUGUAUGGACGGGAUAAGUGCUGAAAGCAUCUAAGCAUGAAGCCCCCUCAAGAUGAGAUUUCCCAACUUCGGUUAUAAGAUCCUCAAAGAUGAUGAGGUUAAUAGGUUCGAGGUGGAAGCAUAGCGAUAUGUGCAGCUGACGAAUACUAAUCGAUCGAAGACUUAAUCAAAUUUUA
rnacentral:rRNA from 1 species